AGUCACUGUGCCUUGGCCAACCUGCUCCAGCGAUUUCCCUGCCUCUUUACAUCCAGCCCCAACGAGCAACGUUUGUCCAGCCACAGAGGAAAAUGGAGUGAAGGGCAACGGUGUGUCACCACCAACCGGCUCAUCCUGCACCACCAGUGUUCGGCCGUUCUCUUUGGUAUAUACCCUCUGGAAAGGAGUGUUUUUAUUCCUGUACAGAAGUCAACCUUUGAGUAAAACUAUUUCCCAGAAGUGAACAGAACUACAAGAAAGAGACAACGAAGGAUGAGUACACAUUCUUAAGUGAGGUAACUAAAAAACAAACAAACAAAAGAACCCCCAAACAAAACAACACACUGUCCCCUUUGUAAUGCGAAGCAGUUGA